rnacentral:lncRNA from 7 species
GUAUACUCAUGACUAAGCACAGGAACCUGGAAAACCACAGGAUUCCUGGGAAGCCACGGAGGAUGGGGUGAACUCAGAGCUGGAGCAUGAGGAGUUUUUUGGAACUUGUGAAUGGUUCUAGGAAGGCUUUCUGUCUAAACCUUUAAAUUGCUUCUGAGAGAACAUGGUGAUCCCACAAAUGUUCACAGAUGACCAAGUCACCUUGUACAAAGUGAGAACACAUUUGCAGGCAGUUUAUUUCACUGACCAUCAUGUUUGCUCAUCACUUACUUAUGUAUGGUGACCCGCUUAGCAUAGCUGGGGUGGAUGAAGUGUGCAGAACUAAGGCAUGUAUGGCCACGUAAUUCUCAUUGUUAUCACUUAUUAAGCAAAACAGCUAAGCAGUUCAUCCAACUUAAAUGUGGCUAUUUACAAAGGCUUUGAAAUUUUUUUUUCUGAUGUAGUACAGGUCAGCAUAUGCUUGUGGCUUUGUCAAACACUGCUGAGUUCAUUAGUUUGUGCCGAUGUGUUGAGAACAGAAAAUGAAAAUGUUACGGGUACAAAAUUUUAAUGUGGUCUCCCAUUACAUCAAGUGUUUGCCAAAAUAUUAAAUAAAACUGUUAACU